UACGAGUGCUCCAAGCGUUUAUCCGGAAUUAUUGGGCGUAAAGGGUGUGUAGGCGGUUUUGUUAGUCUUUUGUCAAAACCUUCGGCUUAACCGAAGAUCCGCAGAAGAAACGGCAAGACUCGAGGAUGCGAGAGGUGAAUGGAACUCAUGGAGUAGGGGUGAAAUCCGUUGAUAUCAUGGGGAACACCAAAUGCGAAGGCAAUUCACUGGCGCACUCCUGACGCUGAGACACGAAAGCGUAGGUAGCGAAUGGG
rnacentral:rRNA from 1 species